CGACCGGGGCGACAGCAAUAUGAAGGUCAGGCUGAAGACCUUACCCGAUUAGCUGAGAGGUGGUGCAUGGCCGUCGUCAGUUCGUACUGUGAAGCAUCCUGUUAAGUCAGGCAACGAGCGAGACCCACGUCCACAGUUGCCAGCAUACCCGUCCGGGGUGAUGGGUACACUGUGGAGACCGCCGCUGCUAAAGCGGAGGAAGGAGUGGGCAACGGUAGGUCAGUAUGCCCCGAAUCUCCCGGGCUACACGCGGGCUACAAUGGUUGGUACAAUGGGCAUCUACCCCGAAAGGGGAAGGAAAUCUCUUAAAGCCAAUCGUAGUUCGGAUUGAGGGCUGCAACUCGCCCUCAUGAAGCUGGAAUCCGUAGUAAUCGCGUUUCAACAGAACGCGGUGAAUACGUCCCUGCUCCUU
rnacentral:rRNA from 1 species